UGCUUUCAGCUCUCUGUGCAAGCCUCAAGCUCUCUAGAACUGACUGAAGUCCCAGAGUCCUGUCUCUUGACAUCUGAGGAAAGAGUAGAGGCUCUGAAACCUGAAAAAGCCUGCAAAGAGGUAACACAGGCAGCCCUGUCCCUGUCUUGGCCAGGCCGGGCCAGGCAGCCGCUGCCGCAGGAUGCCUGCCAGACCCUCCCGUUGGCUGCCGUGCAGGGGGCAGGAGAAGUCAUCCGCCCCGGUGUGCUGCCUGCUGGGAUCCUAGCUCCUACACCCCCAGCCACACUUCCUGCUACAAGCUACCGAGUCCAGCCGGGGUCACACACACGACCAUCUACAGGCCCCAGGCAAGAUAUUAACUCUUUUAGUGCUUCAAUCCUCCCUUGAGUGAGAGAACAUGUCAGAAGUGCAGACACGUAAAGAAACAACAUGAAAACACUGAGGUCCGUGAAGAAGUCAAGUCCUACUUAGGAGGGAUGAACCUUUAGUUUUAGGCUGAAAUCCUCCUGUAAAGAUAUGGAGAACCACUCUUUUUUCCCCCUAUAACCCAUGAAAGUAUGGGGAGAUGAAAGUGUUCAAAUUGUAGAUAAGUGUGAAAAGGCCUCCAUGAUAAAGUAAGCAGAUGUUAAAGUAGCUGUGAUCCUAUGAGAAGUUCGAACAGAGAAGGAGAGAAGAGUGAUGAAGAUCCUGUGCCCCCAGGAAGAGAAGAUCUCUGUUCCUAGAGAUUAUUUCAGAGAUUGAUAAUGAGAACCUUUGCUUUUGAACAACUCAUUUUAAAACAGUACCCCAUAAGCUGACAUGGCCCAUAAACACUGCUGUAGGAGACGCUGUGAAAAUAAGAAGGAUUUCACGAUUGCAGAUUUCCACGGGCUGCUGUUAUUUGUGGAAAUUAAAAGCCAUGAAAGAACUGUUUUCUUGUGGAGAAGUCUUCAUGACAUUAACAAGAGGGACUUCUCUCCCUAAGUGAAUUAAAGAAGAAAUAUUCUAGAGGUGGUAAACUGACUGGAAAUUUUAGGUUUUGUUUCUUUACAUUAUCAGUAGGAAUGAAAAGGUUGUAGGGGCAGGAGAAGUGUUCUGAAGGUUGUGUUCUGAUUUUUAUUACACUUUUAGUAGCUAUUAAUAUAUUUUUCUUUAUACCCUUUUAAAGUUUUGAGCCUGCUUUGUCUUUCUCCUAAUCCUAUAUCACAGCAAGAAAUAAUUAAGUACAUUCUAGUGAGUGCACUAAUAAUUGGCCAGGACUGAACCCACACUAAUUAGUACAUUAGCCAAGAAAUCUCAAAUUAGUGAAACAAAACCACCACAGGUAUUAAGCUUAAAAUUUAGAAUUAGUUUCUUACCUAGAAAAAGAUAAUGAGGAUAUUCCACUGUUUAUUUGGGCUUUUUUAAAACAUAUGCGGAUAAGGAGAAAAUUAUUUAGCAAGUUACUUGAAUUUUUGGCAAUUAUUGGAUAAAAACGACAUAUACCCAAAUGUAUAUAGAACUUUACAUUCUGUGAGUCACUCCAUAUGACUUUAAAGAAAAAGAAUUUAAAAAUCCCAAUGUUUAUUUAUCAUGCAAAGUGAGUUCAUUGACUAAGAAUUAUUGAGAAACCAACAGGAAAAUCUUGCAGAAAAAGUAAUCCAUGCCUGAGAUUCAUGUGGUGUCUUUUCACAAGUGGUUCAAGUUCGGAGUCAACAGUUGAAAAACCUAAAAAUUGCCAUCAAAAGUCUUCACCAAACACAAGCUUACAUCAUUAAAGUUUUUAACCUCCAGGCUUUUAUCUGUUUGUGUUCUUUAAAGAAAUGUCAGGGUCAGAGAUGGAGAUUGGUAGAUGAGUUGUUGUAUUACAUCAUAUAGGGUCUACAUAAUCACAUACACUACUUUCACUUCAUUGAUGUCCCAUAGCCUAUACAAAAGCAUUGUCUGGUUGAUUGAUACUGCCCUAAGUUAUCAUAACCUGUUCUAACAUAUGUUCAUUACAUUUACAUAAAUGAAAUAUGAAGG
rnacentral:lncRNA from 1 species